UACGUAGGGAGCAAGCGUUGUCCGGAAUCAUUGGGCGUAAAGCGCGCGUAGGUGGCCUCAUAAGUCCGCUGUGAAAGUCAAAGGCUCAACCUUUGAAAGCCGGUGGAUACUGUGGGACUAGAGUACGGAAGAGGCGAGUGGAAUUCCUGGUGUAGCGGUGGAAUGCGCAGAUAUCAGGAGGAACACCAAUAGCGAAGGCAGCUCGCUGGGACGUUACUGACACUGAGGCGCGAAGGCGUGGGGAGCGAACAGG
rnacentral:rRNA from 1 species